rnacentral:rRNA from 1 species
GACGAACGCUGGCGGCGCGCCUAACACAUGCAAGUCGAACGGAGUCAAGAGGAGCUUGCUUUUCUUGACUUAGUGGCGAACGGGUGAGUAACGCGUGAGUAACCUGCCCUGGAGUGGGGGACAACAGUUGGAAACGACUGCUAAUACCGCAUAAGCCCACGGAUCCGCAUGGAUCUGCGGGAAAAGGAUUUAUUCGCUUCAGGAUGGACUCGCGUCCAAUUAGCUAGUUGGUGAGGUAACGGCCCACCAAGGCGACGAUUGGUAGCCGGACUGAGAGGUUGAACGGCCACAUUGGGACUGAGACACGGCCCUGACUCCUACGGGAGGCAGCAGUGGGGGAUAUUGCACAAUGGGGGAAACCCUGAUGCAGCGACGCCGCGUGGAGGAAGAAGGUUUUCGGAUUGUAAACUCCUGUCGUUAGGGACGAUAAUGACGGUACCUAACAAGAAAGCACCGGCUAACUACGUG